GAAGAAGAAGAAGAGGACACCUCGUGCGUGAGCAGACACGUGUGAUUCACUUCAUCGUUCAGUGUUGUAGAGGUGGAGUGCAGAUGAAGAGUGUUAUAUGGUUUGAUGUAAAUGUUGACCUGCAAACAAAUGGACGCACGUUCUCACUUCACUGAAACUACAGCAAAUUGAUGAUAAUUUACAUCAAAUAUUUUGAGUUUGUCAAACCCAAUAAUUUCAAACCAUUUGUUUUUACCAUGUCUUCGUUGUUUGAUCAAAUAAAGUUGUUCUAGACUUUU